UGCUUCUCCCCACCACCACCCCACCUUUAUUUUCUACGAUCCAUCUUCCAGCGGGAGACCAUUACCCAGUCAAACAAUGUUCAAUUUCAUCUGCAUUACCGCUUCAAGAGAACACACAGAGAGCUCACACAAAUGGUUGGCUGGAGAAAUGCACGCAGAAAUUUCCAGCCUCUUGGACGAGAGUUAGAGGAAGGAGAAAUAAGCAGUGACUCACUGGGGGAAAAAAAAUCAAUACGUUUCAGAAUGGGCUAAAAAUGUCACCAUAAAAAAAGUUUAAUGUUUAUGAGGGCAAGAGUGGAACAGGAUGUCUCCUCAGUUUCACACAGAAAUGUACGUAUUUCCUCAGGCUUCUCUCUUUGUCCUUUUCUGGUGAGGGGGGGAAGGGAACCU
rnacentral:lncRNA from 1 species